rnacentral:rRNA from 1 species
CUAAGGUAGCGAAAUUCCUUGUCGGGUAAGUUCCGACCUGCACGAAUGGCGUAAUGAUGGCCAGGCUGUCUCCACCCGAGACUCAGUGAAAUUGAACUCGCUGUGAAGAUGCAGUGUACCCGCGGCAAGACGGAAAGACCCCGUGAACCUUUACUAUAGCUUGACACUGAACAUUGAGCCUUGAUGUGUAGGAUAGGUGGGAGGCUUAGAAGUGUGGACGCCAGUCUGCAUGGAGCCGACCUUGAAAUACCACCCUUUAAUGUUUGAUGUUCUAACGUUGACCCGUAAUCCGGGUUGCGGACAGUGUCUGGUGGGUAGUUUGACUGGGGCGGUCUCCUCCUAAAGAGUAACGGAGGAGCACGAAGGUUGGCUAAUCCUGGUCGGACAUCAGGAGGUUAGUGCAAUGGCAUAAGCCAGCUUGACUGCGAGCGUGACGGCGCGAGCAGGUGCGAAAGCAGGUCAUAGUGAUCCGGUGGUUCUGAAUGGAAGGGCCAUCGCUCAACGGAUAAAAGGUACUCCGGGGAUAACAGGCUGAUACCGCCCAAGAGUUCAUAUCGACGGCGGUGUUUGGCACCUCGAUGUCGGCUCAUCACAUCCUGGGGCUGAAGUAGGUCCCAAGGGUAUGGCUGUUCGCCAUUUAAAGUGGUACGCGAGCUGGGUUUAGAACGUCGUGAGACAGUUCGGUCCCUAUCUGCCGUGGGCGCUGGAGAACUGAGGGGGGCUGCUCCUAGUACGAGAGGACCGGAGUGGACGCAUCACUGGUGUUCGGGUUGUCAUGCCAAUGGCACUGCCCGGUAGCUAAAUGCGGAAGAGAUAAGUGCUGAAAGCAUCUAAGCACGAAACUUGCCCCGAGAUGAGUUCUCCCUGACUCCUUGAGAGUCCUGAAGGAACGUUGAAGACGACGACGUUGAUAGGCCGGGUGUGUAAGCGCAGCGAUGCGUUGAGCUAACCGGUACUAAUGAACCGUGAGGCUUAACCUUACAACGCCGAAGGUGUUU